GACGAACGCUGGCGGCGUGCUUAACACAUGCAAGUCGAACGGAAAGGCCCUGCUUUUGUGGGGUGCUCGAGUGGCGAACGGGUGAGUAACACGUGAGUAACCUGCCCUUGACUUUGGGAUAACUUCAGGAAACUGGGGCUAAUACCGGAUAGGAGCUCCUGCUGCAUGGUGGGGGUUGGAAAGUUUCGGCGGUUGGGGAUGGACUCGCGGCGUAUCAGCUUGUUGGUUGGGUAGUGGCUUACCAAGGCUUUGACGGGUAGCCGGCCUGAGAGGGUGACCGGCCACGUUGGGACUGAGAUACGGCCCAGACUCCUACGGGAGGCAGCAGUGGGGAAUAUUGCACAAUGGGCGGAAGCCUGAUGCAGCAACGCCGCGUGCGGGAUGACGGCCUUCGGGUUGUAAUCCGCUUUCGCCUGUGACGAAGCGUGAGUGACGGUAAUGGGUAAAGAAGCACCGGCUAACUACGUG
rnacentral:rRNA from 1 species